rnacentral:rRNA from 1 species
UGACGGGCCGCACAGCGGUGAGCAUGUGGUUUAAUUCGAUGAUACGCGAGGAACCUUACUGGUCUUGACAUCCCGGAGACCUUAGGAACUAGGGGUGCUUCCAUCUGGAAGAAUCUGGAGACAGGUGCUGCAUGGCUGUCGUCAGCUCGUGUCGUGAGAUGUUGGGUUAAGUCCCGCAACGAGCGCAACCCUUGCCUUUAGUUGCCAGCAGUUCGGCUGGGCACUCUAAAGGGACUGCCGGUGUUAAACCGGAGGAAGGUGGGGAUGACGUCAAGUCCUCAUGGCCUUUAUGACCAGGGCUACACACGUACUACAAUGGCCGAUACAAAGGGCAGCGACACUGCGAGGUGAAGCCAAUCCCGUAAAAUCGGUCUCAGUCCGGAUUGGAGUCUGCAACUCGACUCCAUGAAGUUGGAAUCGCUAGUAAUCGUGGAUCAGCAUGCCACGGUGAAUACGUUCCCGGGCCUU